GCUUUGAUCAUCCAUUUGUUCGCCAUAACAGUUGUAUCUGGGUCACCGAUGAUGCUAAGAGCAAUUGGAUAAGAAUUUAAUAACUGAUAUCUGAAAAAUUCGAAGCCUAAUUAUUUUAUAUUUCUAUCAUAAUUUAUUUUUAAAAGCAUUAAACGAAAUAGAUAACUGGCUACUUCUUUUCUGAAAAUAUAUAUUUUUAAUAAAAGGUAGU
rnacentral:lncRNA from 1 species